AGCCACUGCUGGUGGACGUUUCGUCCACAAGGGUAUCACCAGUCCAGUAGUUUUCGGUGUUGACAUGAAUAUCAAUAAUGUGGUCAUUUUUAUAAAUUUCCUGUUUACAAAACUUUUAUUUUGUUCUUUUCUUACACUGGAUCUCUGUAUACUUUUUUCCCAGAAACUUAGACAAAAGUCACAUCUCCUCCACUAUCUGGUUCUACCUUCACAUCCACAUCAUCAAUUCUCACCGGCAUUGUGUUUUGAAUGUCUCAAAUUCUAUGUAUGGUCUUCACUUCAUUUCUCAGUAUGUGCUUGACAGAUUCUUCAAUACAAUCCUUAUAUCACAUCUUCUUUAUUUUAUAUUCGUCGUCAUCUUUAUCACAGACUAAUAGAUCUGUAUUUGAAUAAGUUUCAUUUUUAUCUUCUGUUGUUUGCUCAAUAGUUGUUCGUCUUUUUUAUUCGGGAUGUCAACGAGUACUCGAGUAUCGCUAGUAAGUACUAAAUAUCGGUAACCUAAUGAUAUGCUCGACAUAUCUGUUUGUUGUUAGAGAAUGUUAUUGCUUCGUAAGUUUAUAAACAAAAACAUAGUUUUAUUGAGAACACCUCCCGGGAAAAUAUCAUACAUUAAUCAAAAUUAAUAAAAAUUGAAAUACGAUUCUGAAUAUUGUGUUUAAUUGUGAUUUGAAAUUCUUCCAAACUGAUGUUCAUGUGGGACAUAACAAGAGCAUUUUUCCAAGGCUGAUACCUAUCAAUAUUUUCAUCAGCACGACUGUUUGUAAACUUACAAAUUUCAUAAAUCGCUACGUCCCAGAAAAAGAUGACAUGAUAAUAUUUUUAGAGAAGAUCACAUUCGUUGCACCCUGUGUCGACCCUCAGAAAGGAUAAAUCAUCAUCCCUUUGUUGAUCAUGAAAUAAUUUUUUACAGUUCCCAAAUACUGUUGUUUGAGUAAUAAUUUUUCCUUAGAUAUUAAUUAAUUAUUUGAUUAUAUUAUUAUUAGUCUACACACUUAGUACAUGCAGUAAAUGAGCUAUUAAUUAUGGUAUAAAAUUCCUUAGUCCUAUGUAAUAAUGUUGAGGUUUUUACAAUUAAAAGACAGCAAC
rnacentral:lncRNA from 1 species